GAUGAACGCUAGCGGCAGGCUUAAUACAUGCAAGUCGAACGGGAUUGAGAAGCUUGCUUUUCAUGAGAGUGGCGCACGGGUGCGUAACACGUAUGCAACCUACCUUGUCCAGGGGGAUAGCCCGUUGAAAGACGGAUUAAGACCGCAUAACAUUGAGCUGUGGCAUCACAAAUCAAUCAAAUAUUUAUAGGGACAAGAUGGGCAUGCGCCUGAUUAGGUAGUUGGCGGGGUAAUGGCCCACCAAGCCGACGAUCAGUAGGGGAUCUGAGAGGAUGACCCCCCACACUGGUACUGAGACACGGACCAGACUCCUACGGGAGGCAGCAGUAAGGAAUAUUGGUCAAUGGGCGAAAGCCUGAACCAGCCAUGCCGCGUGCAGGAAGACGGCCCUACGGGUUGUAAACUGCUUUUAUACGGGAAUAACCCCCGGUUUCGUGAAACCGGCUGAAUGUACCGUAAGAAUAAGGAUCGGCUAACUCCGUGCCAGCCGCCGCCGUAA
rnacentral:rRNA from 1 species